rnacentral:rRNA from 1 species
GUUAUCGUUUAUUUGAUAGUACCUUACUACUUGGAUAACCGUGGUAAUUCUAGAGCUAAUACAUGCUAAAAACCUCGACUUCGGAAGGGGUGUAUUUAUUAGAUAAAAAACCAAUGCCCUUCGGGGCUCCUUGGUGAUUCAUAAUAACUUAACGAAUCGCAUGGCCUUGUGCCGGCGAUGGUUCAUUCAAAUUUCUGCCCUAUCAACUUUCGAUGGUACGGUCUUGGCCUACCAUGGUUUCAACGGGUAACGGGGAAUUAGGGUUCUAUUCCGGAGAGGGAGCCUGAGAAACGGCUACCACAUCCAAGGAAGGCAGCAGGCGCGCAAAUUACCCAAUCCCGACACGGGGAGGUAGUGACAAUAAAUACUGAUACAGGGCUCUUUUGGGUCUUGUAAUUGGAAUGAGUACAAUUUAAAUCCCUUAACGAGGAACAAUUGGAGGGCAAGUCUGGUGCCAGCAGCCGCGGUAAUUCCAGCUCCAAUAGCGUAUAUUAAAGUUGUUGCAGUUAAAAAGCUCGUAGUUGAACCUUGG